UGCGUAGGCGGUCUUUCAAGUCAGGAGUGAAAGGCUACGGCUCAACCGUAGUAAGCUCUUGAAACUGUAAGACUUGAGUGCAGGAGAGGAGAGUGGAAUUCCUAGUGUAGCGGUAAAAUGCGUAGAUAUUAGGAGGAACACCAGUUGCGAAGGCGGCUCUCUGGACUGUAACUGACGCUGAGGCACGAAAGCGUGGGGAGCAAACA
rnacentral:rRNA from 1 species